AGGAAUCGGAGUGUUACAGUGAGCCUGUCUUCUGAAGAUGUAGCAGUUCUUAAGUGAAUAUUGUGCUUUGUGAAUUGAGGAUACACUUCACUGAGCACAUAUAGAAAUGUAUGCUCAUCCAUUCUUAAGUCAUUGAUGUACGACUUGACGUCUUCCACUAUUCUAGCAGUGACUGAUAUAGCAAAUGGGCGAUCGAAAGAAUUUGAAAAAGCAGUCUGGAUAUAAAAAAAUUUUCACUUCCAUGUCAGUGAGAGUGAUUUUCGAUGAACUAAAAUGAAGAUACAACAGGUUCACGUAAUUUAAACGCCUUUAGAAAUAGAAUUAAUGUUUGAAACAAUUAAAAAAAUUGUGAUAUUGAGGAGGGAGUAGUGAUACUUUCGCGAUUUUGAUCUGCCUGCAGCUGUUGGGGAUUGAUCACCAGGGUCUCGUUUCUUCAACUAGCUGUCUGUUGCUCGUGAAGAGCUGGCCGUGCGCGGGAUUUCCGAGGUGGGCCAAAAGUGCAGGCUGCUCCUGUGGGUAUCUGUAGUGGAUCGGGCCUGCCGACCUAAAGCCAUUUGGUUCCCACUGAGGUGCAGGCCCUGCCUGUCGGAUCUAGUCUCACCGACCUGCCCGCAGGCAGGGUCUGUUUGUGUGUGACGUAAUGCAGCAGAUUUUCACGGUUUAUCCGUGGGCCCAGGACUGGUGUUCCCCGGCAGGCCAGAGGCCGUGGGCGAUGGACUUCAGGAAUUACAACUGUCUCGUCAUAAAUACCUGGCAAAUGAGAUGAAGUUGUACCACUUCCAUCAGUCCAGACAUUUGUCAAAGAAGUGCAAUUUGCGUAUUGUAAGGCAGAAGAGCCUGUGCUGGUCUCACUCGUACCAGUGCUUCUCAAAGAAGAACAUGUGCUUGAUGAAUCGCCGGAGGACUUUGAAGUUGGCAGUCACCCAUUGCUAAUAAAUCUGAGUUUCUGUAGUGAAAGUCCAAAGAAGGGAAGACAGCAAGAAGUAGCUAUUUGUGUUUUUCAUGGUUUAUAGACCUACUGGGGAAACUUGCCAUGUAAAAAAAAUGAGUAACG